UACGGGGGGGGCAAGCGUUGUUCGGAAUUACUGGGCGUAAAGGGUGCGUAGGCGGUUCGCUAAGUUGGAUGUGAAAACUAUGGGCUCAACCCAUAGCCUGCAUCCAAUACUGACGAACUAGAGUUCUGGAGGGGGUAGCGGAAUUCCUGGUGUAGCGGUGAAAUGCGUAGAUAUCGUGAGGAAUACCAGAGGCGAAGGCGGCUACCUGGACAAUUGCUGACGCUCAGGCACGAAAGCGUGGGGAGCAAAAGGG
rnacentral:rRNA from 1 species